CUGGGGCGACCGGCGGCGGGGCGGCCGGAGGGGCGGCGGCGGUCGGCGGAGGGUCUCACCUACACAGUGAAUGAGCUUGUGGCGCCACGAAUCCAGUUCUUGCCGAAAGCCGCGUCUCUCAACGGAGCAUUGCUGCCGCCUACACACCCUCGCCAUCUUCUGCCGCCCGCCCGGCCCAGCCUCCGCCGCGGCCCCGCGCACGCCCAGCCGCGUCGCCCGGGGCCGCGCACGCACCCGCGGCCCGGGCGUCGCGCCUCCUGCCGGGGGCGGUGCGGGGGCAGGGCCGGCCUCACCUCACCGUGGCCCCGGCGUGGCCCGGGGGCGGCCUGGGCCCGCUCACCCGCCCCGCGCGCCGCCCGCCGGGCUGCGAUCCCGCCGUCCUUCUACGCGGCUGCCGCCGCCUCUGGCCGCCCGGGACGGCGCCUUCCCACAGCCGGAAGUCAGUCCCGCUGGCCCCGCGCCGCCUUCGCACUGUCCCCCAAGGCCACGGCUGCCCCCGCCCUCCCCGGGGCUUUUUGUUUUUUACGCCAGCCCCAUUUAUCACUUCCAACCUGCCUAUCGCCCGGCACCAACUGUUGCAAGUUCCGUAAUAACUGCUGCUAUGAACUUCUCCGUCGAAACUGCUCCUCCCCAGAGCCUGUUUAAGAAGCAGAAAUAAGAAUAAAUUCCCGGAUGCCGGUGGAUGCACUGACCUCUAAGAUUUUCAAAGGUGAAGUGGAUACACGUUAUUAAGUCAUUGGGAGACAUCGCCAACAUUGGGAAACCUAGUAAAAAGUGGAAAUCGAGCGUUUUAAAUAAAAAAAAAAAAAGGUUUCUACUAGCAAGACUGAUCGUAGGCGAACUUCUCAAGGAAUUUUGGAAUAUUGUGCCAAAGUGAGAAUAUUUAAUAUUUCCAAAAGUAGACUUAACUAGGAAUACUUAAAGCAGAGACUAUUGGAAAUGCUUUAAUUUGGGAUUUCAGGAAAGGGCUUGAAGAGAAAUAUUUUAUAUGAGCAAGCCUCUUGGAAUAAUUGAAUCACCUUAAUUUUGUCACUGUUACUUCGAAGAGAACGAGAAGAGAGAAGAUGGGAAACGAAAGGAGAAAGGGAAAAGAAAUGGGGUGGAAAGAAAAAAGCAGAAGAGAUCGCCCUAUACCAGUAGGCCUAGUACCCUAGGAUUCUGGCCUCUUUCUCCCACCUUUGGUGUUUAAGAUUAAGGACAGUGCAUUCCUGCUUUUAGAAAUUUAAAUUUAAGUUUGAAGACUUAAUUUUAAUUACUGUAGUAGGUAAAGCAAAGUCGUUAAAUACUUGACAUCAGGAUCCCAUUGGAGUAUUGAUUUAGGUCUUUUCAAAGGUGGUGGUCCUGGUUCUCUGCACCAGCCACUGGCGGAAUGGCGGAAUGGUGUAUCUACCAAUGAACAGAUGGACUGGGUGGGCCUCGGGUACGGGUGGCUUGAGAUGCAAAUGCAAGGGUAGGAAGGCACCUUCCCCCCCACCACUCCCAGCCCACCCCGCCAAUCUUAAAACAUUGAUCUUUAUAAAAUUCGCAAACGUCCCACAGGAUUUCAUUGGCUUAAGAGUAUUGUCAAAUGAAGACGCCAGGAAGUAUUGAGUUUCUGGGUACAUAAUACUGUCCUGAGUGUUGAAGGAAGAGGACUAAUACGAGAUUUUAAAAAAUGGCUGUGGACAACCAUCCUUCAGGUGUGAUGGCAGGACAUCUUGUAUCACCUGAAACUUCCUUUUUUCGCCGCUAGGUGGUGGGUGUGAGUCUUUUGCGGCCUUUAAGUUUCUACGGUGUUUGGAGGAAAUACGUUUCAGUUUCAAAUAAAUGAACAACGUGUAACUCUAA
rnacentral:lncRNA from 1 species